CCUACGGGAGGCAGCAGUGGGGAAUAUUGCACAAUGGGGGAAACCCUGAUGCAGCGACGCCGCGUGAGUGAAGAAGUAAUUCGUUAUGUAAAGCUCUAUCAGCCGGGAAGAAAAUGACGGUACCUGAGUAAGUAGCCCCGGCUAACUACGUGCCAGCAGCCGCGGGAAUACGGAGGGGGCAAGCGUGAUCCGGAUUUACUGGGUGUAAAGGGAGCGUAGACGGCAGUGCGAGUCUGGAGUGAAAGGCGGGGGCUCAACCCCCGGACUGCUCUGGAAACUGGACGGCUGGAGUGCAGGAGAGGUAAGUAGAAUUCCUAGUGUAGCGGUGAAAUGCGUAGAGAUUAGGAGGAACACCAGUGGCGAAGGCGGCUUACUGGACUGUAACUGACGUUGAGGCGCGAAAGCGUGGGGAGCAAACAGGAUUAGAUACCCGAGUAGUC
rnacentral:rRNA from 1 species